AUUGAACGCUGGCGGCAUGCCUUACACAUGCAAGUCGAACGGCAGCACGGGUGCUUGCACCUGGUGGCGAGUGGCGAACGGGUGAGUAAUACAUCGGAACAUGUCCUGUAGUGGGGGAUAGCCCGGCGAAAGCCGGAUUAAUACCGCAUACGAUCUACGGAUGAAAGCGGGGGACCUUCGGGCCUCGCGCUAUAGGGUUGGCCGAUGGCUGAUUAGCUCGUUGGUGGGGUAAAGGCCUACCAAGGCGACGAUCAGUAGCUGGUCUGAGAGGACGACCAGCCAGACUGGGACUGAGACACGGCCCAGACUCCUACGGGAGGCAGCAGUGGGGAAUUUUGGACAAUGGGCGAAAGCCUGAUCCAGCAAUGCCGCGGGUGUGAAGAAGGCCGUCGGGUUGUAAAGCACGUUUGUCCGGAAAGAAAUCCUUGGCCCUAAUACGGUCGGGGGGAUGACGGUACCGGAAGAAUAAGCACCGGCUAACUACGUG
rnacentral:rRNA from 1 species